rnacentral:rRNA from 1 species
AGUGAACGCUGGCGAUAGGCCUAACACAUGCAAGUCGAACGGCAGCACAGUAAGAGCUUGCUCUUACGGGUGGCGAGUGGCGGACGGGUGAGGAAUACAUCGGAAUCUACUUUUUCGUGGGGGAUAACGUAGGGAAACUUACGCUAAUACCGCAUACGACCUACGGGUGAAAGCAGGGGAUCUUCGGACCUUGCGCGAUUGAAUGAGCAGAUGUCGGAUUAGCUAGUUGGCGGGGUAAAGGCCCACCAAGGCGACGAUCCGUAGCUGGUCUGAGAGGAUGAUCAGCCACACUGGAACUGAGACACGGUCCAGACUCCUACGGGAGGCAGCAGUGGGGAAUAUUGGACAAUGGGCGCAAGCCUGAUCCAGCCAUACCGCGUGGGUGAAGAAGGCCUUCGGGUUGUAAAGCCCUUUUGUUGGGAAAGAAAAGCAGCAGGUUAAUACCCCGCUGUUCUGACGGUACCCAAAGAAUAAGCACCGGCUAACUUCGUG